rnacentral:rRNA from 1 species
GACGAACGCGGGCGGCGUGCUUAACGCAUGCAAGUCGAACGAUGAAGCCGGAGCUUGCUCUGGCGAAUUAGUGGCGAACGGGUGAGUAACACGUGAGUAACCUGCCCUUGACUCUGGGAUAACUGCGGGAAACUGUAGCUAAUACCGGAUACGACCCUCGGAGGCAUCUCCUGGGGGUGGAAAGAAUUUCGGUCAAGGAUGGACUCGCGGCCUAUCAGCGAGUUGGUGAGGUAAAGGCUCACCAAGGCGACGACGUGUAGCCGGCCUGAGAGGGUGGCUGGACACACUGGGACUGAGCCACGGCCCAGACUCCUACGGGAGGGAGCAGGGGGGGAUAUUGGACACUGGGCGCAAGCCUGAUGCAGCAACGCAGCGUGAGGGAUGCCGGCCCUCGGGUUGUAAACCUCUUUUGGCAGGGAAGAAGCGAACGUGACGGUACCUGCAGAAAAAGCACCGGCUAACUACGUGCCAGCCGCCGCCGUAA